GAGUCGUAACAAGGUUACCGUAGGUGAACCUGCGGUAGGAUCAUUCUUGUAAAGAUCUGGCAACGUUUCGUUUUUGAAGGUGAUUCCGAUACUCCAACGUUGUCAACUUGUAAAUUAACACUGUGAACUUUAAAAAAUAAAACAUGUGAUCACGUAGGAUGGGUGACGAACCUAGCAAUAGACGAGUUGCCCAUCCAUAAGCUGGCCCUAGGGGCUAUUAACCAACCAUAUUCAUACAUUGCCUUAGAACAAUAGAAUUAAAUAUAACCUUUAACAAUGGAUCUCUUGGCUCCU
rnacentral:misc_RNA from 1 species